rnacentral:rRNA from 1 species
UACGAAGGGGCUAGCGUUGCUCGGAAUCACUGGGCGUAAAGCGCACGUAGGCGGAUUGUUAAGUCAGGGUAAAAUCCUGGAGCUCAACUCCAGAACUGCCUUGAUACUGGCGAUCUUGAGUCCGGGAGAGGUGAGUGGAACUGCGAGUGUAGAGGUGAAAUUCGUAGAUAUUCGCAAGAACACCAGUGGCGAAGGCGGCUCACUGGCCCGGUACUGACGCUGAGGUGCGAAAGCGUGGGAGCAAACAGGAU